UACGGGGGGGGCAAGCGUUGUUCGGAAUUACUGGGCGUAAAGGGCUCGUAGGUGGCCAACUAAGUCAGACGUGAAAAUCCCUCGGCUUAACCGGGGAACUGCGUCUGAUACUGGAUGGCUAGAGAUUGGGAGAGGGAUGCGGAAUUCCAGGUGUAGCGGUGAAAUGCGCAGAUAUCAGGAAGAACACCCGUGGCUAAGGCGGCUCUCUAGUACGGUACUGACGCUGAGACGCGAAAGCGUGGGGAGCGAACAGG
rnacentral:rRNA from 1 species